rnacentral:lncRNA from 1 species
AUAAAGUCAUCGGGUGCAGUGGCUGUGGUGCUCCCAUUCAAGUUUCCGAGGUGAAGCUGCUUUCCUUUUCAUCAGGGCAGCGAACCGUUUUCCUCCCAGCUGAGGUGAAGGCCAUAGGGACGGAGCAUGAUCACGUCCUCCCUCUGCAGGAAUUGGCUAUGAGAGGGCUGUAUCAUACCUACCACAGCUUGCUGAAAGAUUUGAACUUUCUGUCUCCAAUCUCAUUACCCAGAAGUCUCCUAGAGCUGCUGCACUGCCCUCUGGGGCACUGUCAUCGGUGUAGUGAGCCUAUGUUUACCAUCGUCUACCCCAAGCUCUUUCCCUUGAGAGAGACGCCAAUGGCAGGGCUGCACCAGUGGAAGACAACUGUUAGUUUUGUGGCUUACUGCUGCUCCACCCAGUGUCUGCAGACUUUUGACCUGCUGAGUUGAUAAACACUCAAGAACCUCAGGAGCGCUGCCAGCUUGACACUGGGGAAUCCAGCCAGUCCAGCACACUCUUCCAUCCUGUCCUGUCCAAUGCGGGGGCACUGCAGAACUCUCUAGAAAUGUCAUGAUUGAGCUUCAGAGCUAAAAUGCCUUCACCCUUCCCCCAAGUUGGAAUAUAUCCUCCC